CUUCCAGACUCCUACGGGAGGCAGCAGUGAGGAAUAUUGGUCAAUGGGCGAGAGCCUGAACCAGCCAAGUCGCGUGAAGGAUGACGGCCCUACGGGUUGUAAACUUCUUUUGUCAGGGAGCAAUUGAGUCCACGUGUGGGCUUAGCGAGAGUACCUGAAGAAAAAGCAUCGGCUAACUCCGUGCCAGCAGCCGCGGUAAUACGGAGGAUACGAGCGUUAUCCGGAUUUAUUGGGUUUAAAGGGUGCGUAGGCGGGAUGCCAAGUCAGCGGUAAAAAUGCGGUGCUCAACGCCGUCGAGCCGUUGAAACUGGCGUUCUUGAGUGGGCGAGAAGUAUGCGGAAUGCGUGGUGUAGCGGUGAAAUGCAUAGAUAUCACGCAGAACUCCGAUUGCGAAGGCAGCAUACCGGCGCCCGACUGACGCUGAGGCACGAAAGCGUGGGUAUCGAACAGGAUUAGAUACCCCGGUAA
rnacentral:rRNA from 1 species